UAUCCUGGGAGGCAUGCCUGUCCGAGCGUCGUUUCAACCCUCGAGCCCCUGUGGCCCGGCGUUGGGGAUCUGCCACGGCAGGCCCCUAAAACCAGUGGCGGACCCGAAGGGCCCUCUCCUUUGCGCAGUAGCAUUCGCCUCGCAUCGGGAGUCCUCGGCGUCCUGCCUCUAAACCCCCCACAAGCCCGCUUCGGCGGCACCAAGGUUGACCUCGGAUCAGGUAGGAAUACCCGCUGAACUUAAGCAUAUCAAUAAGCGGAGGAAAAGAAACCAACAGGGAUUGCCUCAGUAACGGCGAGUGAAGCGGCAACAGCUCAAAUUUGAAAUCUGGCUCCUUCGGGGUCC
rnacentral:rRNA from 1 species